UCAUGCGAUUAUAUCUUCAGU
rnacentral:piRNA from 1 species